CUAUUUAAGUUUUAACUUAUACACGAGUAAAGAAAUUGAAUAGUACAUGGAAUUAAACUACAUAAAUGCCUACUUCUUUUCUUAAAAGAAGAUCUUCGACUAAUUUAAAUUACACAUAGCAUGGGUAAAUAUGAUUCCGCGAAUUAAGAGUCAAAUAUGAAACCUUGAGAGUUGGGUAUUCUAAACUAAGAAUUAGCCUAAACAAGGAAAUUAACACGAGUUCAAUGUUGACGUGAUUAUAGAUUGAUUGAAGAAAAGACGUACAGAUCGCUCGAGGUGACGAAUUUGGUAUUUCGACACGAGUAUUGUGAGUAGUCAUCUUGAUAUGGUACCGAACAGUUUACUUGAGAUGUUUACCGAUUAAUCUAAAUAUUUUCACCAUUAAUAGAUAUGUUUUACCAUUACUUGAGGUGUUACGGUUACUUGGAUUAUUCUCACUGUUAAUAGACAUGUUUUACUGUUACUUGAGACAUUAUUACUAUUACCGAAAUAAAAUAACAAGAUUUGAUAAGAAAUGAUAU
rnacentral:lncRNA from 1 species